ACNUGCAGUUGANGGGAUCAGUUGUAGCAAUACGACUGUGAGAGUGGCGCACGGGUGCGUAACACGUAUGCAACCUACCUUAAACUGGGGAAUAGCCCCUCGAAAGAGGGAUUAAUACCGCAUAACGAGGCGUGUAGGCAUCUACACUCCUCUAAAACUCCGGUGGUUUAAGAUGGGCAUGCGGCUGAUUAGCUAGUUGGUGAGGUAAUGGCUCACCAAGGCUACGAUCAGUAGGGGGUCUGAGAGGAUGUCCCCCCACACUGGUACUGAGACACGGACCAGACUCCUACGGGAGGCAGCAGUAGGGAAUAUUGGACAAUGGGGGAAACCCUGAUCCAGCCAUGCCGCGUGCAGGAUGACUGCCCUAUGGGUUGUAAACUGCUUUUGUACGGGAAGAAACCACAUUACGUGUAAUGUGUUGACGGUACCGUGAGAAUAAGGAUCGGCUAACUUCGUGCCAGCAGCCGCGGUAAUACGAAGGAUCCUAGCGUUGUCCGGAUUUACUGGGUUUAAAGGGUGCGUAGGCGGACUUUUAAGUCAGUGGUGAAAGCCUGCAGCUUAACUGUAGAAUUGCCAUUGAAACUGAAAGUCUCGAGUGUGGUUGAGGUAGCUGGAAUGUAUCAUGUAGCGGUGAAAUGCUUAGAUAUGAUACAGAACUCCAAUUGCGAAGGCAGGCUACUAAACCAUAACUGACGCUGAGGCACGAAAGCGUGGGGAUCAGACAGGAUUAGAUACCCUGNUAGUCCACGCCCUAAACGUUGCAUACUCGGUUUUGGCGAUAUACAGUCAGGACCCAAGCGAAAGCGUUAAGUAUGCCACCUGGGAAGUACGAUCGCAAGAUUGAAACUCAAAGGAAUUGACGGGGGCCCGCACANCGGANGAGCAUG
rnacentral:rRNA from 1 species